GAGUUUGAUCCUGGCUCAGAUUGAACGCUGGCGGAAUGCUUUACACAUGCAAGUCGAACGGCAGCACGGGGCAACCUGGUGGCGAGUGGCGAACGGGUGAGUAAUACAUCGGAACGUGCCCAAUCGUGGGGGAUAACGUAGCGAAAGUUACGCUAAUACCGCAUACGAUCUACGGAUGAAAGCGGGGGAUCGCAAGACCUCGCGCGAGUGGAGCGGCCGAUGUCAGAUUAGGUAGUUGGUGGGGUAAAGGCUCACCAAGCCAACGAUCUGUAGCUGGUCUGAGAGGACGACCAGCCACACUGGAACUGAGACACGGUCCAGACUCCUACGGGAGGCAGCAGUGGGGAAUUUUGGACAAUGGGCGCAAGCCUGAUCCAGCCAUUCCGCGUGCAGGAUGAAGGCCUUCGGGUUGUAAACUGCUUUUGUACGGAACGAAACGGCGAGCUCUAAUACAGUUUGCUAAUGACGGUACCGUAAGAAUAAGCACCGGCUAACUACGUG
rnacentral:rRNA from 1 species